rnacentral:rRNA from 1 species
CAAGUCGAGCGGUAGCACAGAGAGCUUGCUCUCGGGUGACGAGCGGCGGACGGGUGAGUAAUGUCUGGGAAACUGCCUGAUGGAGGGGGAUAACUACUGGAAACGGUAGCUAAUACCGCAUAAUGUCGCAAGACCAAAGUGGGGGACCUUCGGGCCUCAUGCCAUCAGAUGUGCCCAGAUGGGAUUAGCUAGUAGGUGGGGUAACGGCUCACCUAGGCGACGAUCCCUAGCUGGUCUGAGAGGAUGACCAGCCACACUGGAACUGAGACACGGUCCAGACUCCUACGGGAGGCAGCAGUGGGGAAUAUUGCACAAUGGGCGCAAGCCUGAUGCAGCCAUGCCGCGUGUGUGAAGAAGGCCUUCGGGUUGUAAAGCACUUUCAGCGGGGAGGAAGGCGUUAAGGUUAAUAACCUUGGCGAUUGACGUUACCCGCAGAAGAAGCACCGGCUAACUCCGUGCCAGCAGCCGCGGUAAUACGGAGGGUGCAAGCGUUAAUCGGAAUUACUGGGCGUAAAGCGCACGCAGGCGGUCUGUCAAGUCGGAUGUGAAAUCCCCGGGCUCAACCUGGGAACUGCAUUCGAAACUGGCAGGCUAGAGUCUUGUAGAGGGGGGUAGAAUUCCAGGUGUAGCGGUGAAAUGCGUAGAGAUCUGGAGGAAUACCGGUGGCGAAGGCGGCCCCCUGGACAAAGACUGACGCUCAGGUGCGAAAGCGUGGGGAGCAAACAGGAUUAGAUACCCUGGUAGUCCACGCCGUAAACGAUGUCGAUUUGGAGGUUGUGCCCUUGAGGCGUGGCUUCCGGAGCUAACGCGUUAAAUCGACCGCCUGGGGAGUACGGCCGCAAGGUUAAAACUCAAAUGAAUUGACGGGGGCCCGCACAAGCGGUGGAGCAUGUGGUUUAAUUCGAUGCAACGCGAAGAACCUUACCUGGUCUUGACAUCCACAGAACUUUCCAGAGAUGGAUUGGUGCCUUCGGGAACUGUGAGACAGGUGCUGCAUGGCUGUCGUCAGCUCGUGUUGUGAAAUGUUGGGUUAAGUCCCGCAACGAGCGCAACCCUUAUCCUUUGUUGCCAGCGGUCCGGCCGGGAACUCAAAGGAGACUGCCAGUGAUAAACUGGAGGAAGGUGGGGAUGACGUCAAGUCAUCAUGGCCCUUACGACCAGGGCUACACACGUGCUACAAUGGCAUAUACAAAGAGAAGCGACCUCGCGAGAGCAAGCGGACCUCAUAAAGUAUGUCGUAGUCCGGAUUGGAGUCUGCAACUCGACUCCAUGAAGUCGGAAUCGCUAGUAAUCGUAGAUCAGAAUGCUACGGUGAAUACGUUCCCGGGCCUUGUACACACCGCCCGUCACACCAUGGGAGUGGGUUGCAAAAGAAGUAGGUAGCUUAACCUUCGGGAGGGCGCUUACCACUUUGUGAUUCAUGACUGGGGUGAAGUCGUAACAAGGUAACCGUAGGGGAACCUGCGGUUGGAUCACCU